AUGAUCCCCAUCAUUAUUAUUGUAUGUUCCAUUCAGCAUUAGUUCAAUUUUUCAGUUAUCCAAUUUUUUCAAAUUCAUAUCAUUAAUAUAAUCAAAUAUUUAGGUUAUUAACAAUAGUAACAUAAAAAACAAAAAUGACAAUUAGCAAAUGAAUAAUUCACACUAUUGGUAAUAAAUUAAUUUAAAACAAUUUUAUCUUACAUCUAUCAAAAACAUUGGCAUAAUAUAUUUAAUAUAUUAACAUAUUUGUUAUCAUUCCUAUGCCUUUCUAAAUUAAGUCUGUGUUUUAACCCCUUUCAAUUUUUUCUUUCACCCUUGUUACAUCUGGAGUAACUCCUUGAAAUAUAACAUCAUUUUGUUCCAUCCAUACUUUAAAUCUAACAGUAGACAGGAGCAAUAUCAAAGCAUCUAUUUGAGAAGAAGUAGCAUUUUGAUACUCCUGUCCACCCAGAUCCAACAUUAUGCAUGUUCCAAACGUUUUCAAAAAUUGACAAUUACAAAGUUAAUGAUAAUAACAUAAAUAUAAUAAUAUUAAAAUAUAAUAUAUAUGUCCUGUAUGAAUGAACAUUUCCAAAACAAAUGCUCAUUAUAUUCAGGUUCUUUAUUACAUAGAACACAAAUAUCAUUACCCGCAAUAAACUUUAUUUUGGGUUUAGUUGUCAAAGGUAGAAUUUUCCACAUAAUCUUGAAAUUGAACAUUUUUACAUAAUUUGCCAAGAUACCUCUAUGAAUAUUUUUGCAACAAUUGUUUACAUCAACAGAAUACAAAAAAUUAACCAAUUCUGAAUUCAUAUUAUUGACAAUUCUUUUAUAUAUGGUUCUAUGAUCUCCUUCUGCAAUUUCUUUCACAGUUAUAUUGUGCAUUCUUAUAAAUUCUAAUAGAGCAUUGUAAAAAUAACUUGGUUUCACACCAUGGGUAAUAUUAUUUUUUGCCUGUAUGCCGAUGAUUACACUAAACUGUUGACCAAUAUUAUAUUCCAACCAUUCCAUAUUUCCAGACCUAUUUUCUGUUUCGCCUGAUCUCCAUGUAUAAUAUUCAUGCACACUCAUUAUAUACAGACACAUCAAAAAUACAGGUAUAUACGGUACUUCAUAUCCACAUGGCAUUUUAAAUUUACUCACAGCUUCAAUUGAUAACAACUUUGGUUUACCAUCAAAAACAAAUUUCAUGACUUCAGUAUUAAUUCUAUUUGCUAUUACAUGAGGUAUUGGGAAUAUUCUUGCCAGAUGUAAGACCAUGGGCAACAUUUUAGCUUUUACCAACAAAUUUUUCAAAGGUAAGUUUAAAUUUCCAUAGAUCUUGGGUUUUUUCUUUCAACUUUCCAAGACAUUUAUCCCAGUUUUCAAUAGUUGUAUUUCCAUUUCGAAAUGUCACACCAAGGACCUCAAUUUUUUCAUGUUUGUAUUUUAACGUUAGUAUAACACUGUUUACACAGUACGCUAUCUUACGAUUCAUACAUCCACUUCCUCUCGAGAGAAAGUACGGCAAUAAAUGAAUCCAAAAAUGAAUGAAAGAGUAUAUAUAGGCCGUGGUUUAUGUGACGUCACCCAUCCAACGUGGGAUAGCUAACAAAGCACACUAAAGCGUAUAAACGGGUGUUCUGUAUUGGCGUCUCCCGGCGAUUAAGAUAUGGUCUACUAACUGACAAAGUGCAUAAUGACAACUAAGAUUGAUGUGAAAUUUAACAUCGUUUCAAGUAGGGCCAAUUUAAAUAAUCCCUCGAUUUUAAUUUGUAUUUAAUGCUAAAAGCCUUAUAAUACGAUUACCUAAAUGUUGUGAAAUAUUACGAGUGGGUGUGAAAAAUAGUUUUGCGAGAACAAGUCAGAUAUGAUAUUAAUCGAGAAUAAGACAUAGAUAAUAUUUUUUUUUAAAUAUUCCAAUCAUAUCCUUAUUUACCAUUAAAAACCACAAUUUUAAUUUUAGUGCGUCCUAAAAACUUUCCCUCCAUCUCCAACCUAAAACUAGUGUCAUGUGCAAGUUGCACUCAUUUCAAAUAGUUUAAAAUGCGUGAAUAAAAAAAUAUUAUAAUAAUAAUGAUAAUAAUAAAGAAACAAAGAAUAUUAAUAAAACCAUAGCAAAUGCAAAAAAAAUUCUCCUUUGUUGGGGACUGUGAUCUUAGACAGAAAACCCACUUAAUCACGUUUAAAAACGAGUCAAUAUUUCAAAAACUUUGUCCUAUUUCUGCCACUGGAUGUUAUAAAUCUGAUUGAUAUUGCUCAGGUAUGCAAGAUCAUCUGAUUGUAUUCUUUAUGAUUUUUAAAGUAAUCAUCCGAACUGGUUAAUAACUAAUGUCUAUUUACAAAGGCAAAUUUCUAUAUGACAAUAACCUAGAUACAUUUCAAAUAAUACGAAUGUUCAUCAUCCAAUACCACUUUUUGGAAAUUAAUGUUUCUAUAAUUCAUAACAUCCAGGGGUAUUUAAACACUUCGGAAGCUAAGUUUUGUAGUAGCGAAACAAUAAUCAUGUGAUAUAGGUCUCCAAAAUGGGGAACCAGAAUAGAUAUCACCUCUCAUUCCAUUAUUUUUUAGCAAGAAAAUGAGCUACCAUUUGUGGCGACAAAUGAAGAAGCAGUUAUAUCUCUCACAGUACAUGGGAUAAAACUGAAAAAGCCAGCAACAGCACUGUUCUAUAUCGUAUUCCUCUUCACAAGAUAGAAAGAAUUGUUAUCUUCGAUGAUGGACUUAUUGGUAAUACAAUGUUAGCUGUAAAAUGUGCCAGAGAUUUUGAAAACAGCAACAAGGAAGCGAUGUUCAAUAUUCAUGCUUAUCAAUGCGAAAGCAAGGAGCUAGCGCAGGAAGUUUGUAGAAGUUUCAGUCACAUUCUUGAUACAGCAAUUGGUGCUACUUUUCCAGGAAAAACCGUCCAAUCAGUAACAUGAAAACGAGAGGAAGAAUUGUUUUUCAUCACGAAAAGCUGCAAUGUUCCCAGGCAUAGAUGAGAACUCACCAUUUGAUUAAGCUGUCCUAAGCUUUUUCGACCGACCGUAAUAGAUUUAGAGCAGGGGUCGGCAACCUACGGCUCGCGACGCUUCAUUGAAUUAUAGUAACAAAAUAGCAUUUUUGACGAUUAUAUUCUUUACAAAACAGAAUUCAU